CCUACGGGUGGCAGCAGUGGGGAAUAUUGCGCAAUGGGCGAAAGCCUGACGCAGCGACGCCGCGUGAGGGAUGAAGGUCUUCGGAUCGUAAACCUCUGUCAGCAGGGAAGAACGGUCACUGUGCUAAUCAGCAGUGAAUUGACGGUACCUGCAAAGGAAGCACCGGCUGACUCCGUGCCAGCAGCCGCGGUAAUACGGAGGGUGCGAGCGUUAAUCGGAAUUACUGGGCGUAAAGCGCUCGUAGGCGGUAUGUCAAGUCAAGGGUGAAAUCCCCGCGCUCAACGUGGGAACUGCCUUUGAAACUGGCAAACUGGAGUGUGUGAGAGGAUAGUGGAAUGCCAGGUGUAGGGGUGAAAUGCGUAGAUAUCUGGAGGAACAUCAGUGGCGAAGGCGACUAUCUGGCACAUAACUGACGCUGAGGAGCGAAAGCGUGGGUAGCAAACAGGAUUAGAUACCCUAGUAGUC
rnacentral:rRNA from 1 species